AUUGAACGCUGGCGGCAGGCCUAACACAUGCAAGUCGAGCGAGCGGCGGACGGGUGUGUCAUGUAUGGGGACUGCCCGAUAUAGGGGGGCCACUACUGGAAACGGUGGCUAAUACCGCCUACUGUUGGAUUCCCCAUAUGGGAUUAGCUAGUAGGUAAGGUAAUGGCUGACCUAGGCGACGAUCCCUAGCUGGUCUGAGAGAGUGAUCAGCCACACUGGUACUGAGACACGGCCCAGACUCCUACGGAGGCAGCAGUGGGGAAUAUUGCACAAUGAGCGAAAGCCUGAUGCAGCCAUGCCGCGUGUAUGAUGAGGGCCCUAGGGUUGGAAAAUACUUUCAGUCGGGAGGCGGUACCGGCAGAAUAAGCACCGGCUAACUACGUGCCAGCAGCCGCGGUAAUAC
rnacentral:rRNA from 1 species